rnacentral:rRNA from 1 species
UACAGAGGUCCCGAGCGUUGUUCGGAUUUAUUGGGCGUAAAGGGUGCGUAGGCGGCGGAGUAAGUUGGGUGUGAAAUCCCGAGGCUCAACCUCGGAAUUGCAUUCAAUACUGCUUCGCUCGAGUACUGGAGAGGAGGCUGGAAUUUACGGUGUAGCAGUGAAAUGCGUAGAUAUCGUAAGGAAGGCCGGUGGCGAAAGCGAGCCUCUGGACAGUUACUGACGCUGAUGAACGAAGGCCAGGGGAGCAAACGGG